GGAAGUGUGGCCGAGCGGUUGAAGGCACCGGUCUUGAAAACCGGCGACCCGAAAGGGUUCCAGAGUUCGAAUCUCUGCGCUUCCG
rnacentral:ncRNA from 11 species